rnacentral:rRNA from 1 species
UACGUAGGGGGCAAGCGUUGUCCGGAAUUAUUGGGCGUAAAGCGCGUGUAGGCGGCUCGGUAAGUCUGCUGUGAAAGUCCAGGGCUCAACCCUGGAAUGCCGGUGGAUACUGUCGAGCUAGAGUCCGGAAGAGGCGAGUGGAAUUCCUGGUGUAGCGGUGAAAUGCGCAGAUAUCAGGAGGAACACCAAUGGCGAAGGCAGCUCGCUGGGACGGUACUGACGCUGAGACGCGAAAGCGUGGGGAGCGAACAGG